AAUUUGGCCAAAAGAAUAGAAACACAAAUGGCAUGUAACUCGCAGCGAGCCACUAAUGUUCCAAGGCGAAUAGUGUUUUGCCACUGUCUGGUGGCGACUAGUUUGAUCCAGUCUCCUGAACAUGCGCAGUCGGUGUAAACAGGAAGAAUCUGCGGAAACUAGGGCUAAUCUAAAAAGACUAGUCGAGAUAUUCACAGGAACAAAUAUAUACUUUAUUAAUCGUAAAUGUAUGUUUUUCGUUGCGCACAAGUAUGUCAACAGAUAUACAAUAUGACAUAAUAUUAUUCUAAAUUAAGUAUUUUUUGCACAGCGGAAGGCAGAAUUGCUAGCAACGUUAGCCAACGAGCAAGCUAACGCUACCUAUUCAUAUUUUGACAGAUUGGUAACUGAAGCUAGCUGACAUCUAGCUGUCGUUUCGUUUUACUAGAAACUUGUUUGCGUGAAUCUAAUUUGAACAGACAACCCGAACCAUAUUUGUUGUGUUCUGCGGCCUGUGAGCAUAUCCUCCAAUUCCUCGCUAUCACCGGAGUUUCAGAUCUUGUUCAAACAUAUUUUUUUCUCUCUCAACCCUGUCUGGUGCUAGCUACGAGAACAGACCGUCUGUAGAAAUGGUUCAGAAAGACAAGCCGGUGGUGGAUACGUCUCAAGCGGAGACUGAAACGAGCCCAUGUUCGGGGCCAUCUAAGGCUGGUUCCGAAGCAUCUGGCCUCGUGGAAGAACCGAUAAACAUAGAGGUGGAGCUGUCGGGCCGCAGGAAAUUCAUCAGUGGAGUCGUGGAGGGCUUCUACGGCCGGCCAUGGACAAUGGAACAAAGGAAAGAGCUGUUCAGGAGACAGCAGAAAUGGGGCUUGAACACAUACCUCUACGCUCCAAAAGAUGACUACAAGCACAGGAUGUUCUGGAGAGAGAUGUACUCAGUAGAAGAAGCAGAACAGCUGAUUACCCUGAUCAGUGCUGCAAAGGAGUAUGGGAUUGAGUUCAUCUAUGCCAUCUCCCCGGGCCUCGACAUCACCUUCUCUAACCAGAAAGAAGUGUCCACACUCAAAAGGAAACUCGACCAGGUGACUCACUUUGGCUGCAAGUCAUUUGCCUUACUGUUUGACGACAUUGACCACAACAUGUGCCCCGCCGACAAGGAAGUGUUCAGCUCCUUCGCCCAUGCCCAGGUGUCCCUCACCAAUGAGAUCUUCCAGUACCUGGGAGAGCCUGAGACCUUUCUCUUCUGCCCCACAGAGUACUGUGGAACGUUCUGCUACCCCAAUGUUGCCCAGUCCCCCUACCUGCACACAGUGGGAGAGAAGCUGCUACCUGGCAUUGAAGUGCUGUGGACAGGUCCUAAGGUGGUAUCGAAAGACAUCACAGUGGAAUCAAUAGAGGAGGUCUCUAAGAUCCUGAAGAGAGCUCCGGUAAUCUGGGACAACAUCCAUGCCAACGACUACGACCAGAAGCGUCUGUUCCUGGGGCCGUACAAGGGGCGCUCCACGGAGCUCAUCCCCCGCCUAAAGGGGGUUCUCACCAACCCCAACUGUGAGUUCGAGUCCAACUUCGUAGCCAUCCACACCCUGGCCACCUGGUACAAGUCCAACAUGAACGGAGUGCGCAAGGAUGUCGCCAUGACGGAUGGAGAGGACAGUACUGUGUCUAUCCAGAUAAAGCUGGAAAAUGAGGGCAGUGAUGAGGAGUUGGAGACGGACAUGUUGUACAGCCCUCAGCUCGCCCUGAAACUGGCCCUCACAGAGUGGCUGGGGGAGUUUUUAGUGCCUCACCAGUACAACAGUCGCCAGGUAACCCAUAGCGGAGCUAAGAGUUCAGCUAUUAACGUGUCAUCACUAGGUGCCUCCUCCCUCUGCGCUGGUACUACAGUCACUACAGUGUUCCGACAGCCCAUCAUGGCCCCCACGGGUGCCCCCGACCCCAAUAACCACCCCAUGGCCAAGAGUCUGCAACAACAAGAGGUGGAUGUUGAGAAGAAGGAGUCUGAUGAAGAGCCCAUGGAGAUGGCUGUGGAGAAACCAUAUGAGACGGAGCCAGAGCCAGACCCUGUAGCGGAGGCUGAAACUGAGACCAAGAACAGCCUGGUCCUUUUAGACAAGAUGGUGGAGGAUCUGAAGCCCAUGGACACAGACCGGGAGGUCCUAGUUCCUGAUUCCAAAUCUCCAGAGGAGGACAUUGACAUGGCCCCCAUGCAGACAGACGAACAGCUAAAACAGGAUGUUUUUGUGCUUGGUCCCAAUGAGAAGGUAUUGUACACUGCAGAGUCUCUUUCUUUGGAGGACCUGAUCCUGCUGGCUGAGCUCUUCUACCUGCCCUAUGAGUACGGACCCAAGGCCCUACACAUGCUCAAGGAGUUCAAUUGGCUCCGGGCUAACUGCAGCACCGUCGGUGUCGACUGCAAGGGCAAGGAGCCAGAGAAGGUAGUGGAGUGGCAGUCCCGGGCGGAGAGGUUUGAGGAGAUGUGUUGCUCGGUCAUCCAGAUGUUCACCAGGCUGUCUAACUCAGCCAACCGCACCAUCCUCUAUGACCUCUACCCCUACAUCUGGGACAUCAAGAGCAUCAUGUCCAUGGUCAAGUCCUUUGUCCAGUGGCUAGGGUGCCGUAGUCAGGCUACUGCACAGUUCCUUAGUGGAGACCAAGAGCCUUGGGCCUUUAGGGGCGGUCUAGCAGGAGAGUUCCAGGAGGGCCACGGGCCCGGCCCUGCGCAGCGCGACAGCUCGAAGCGAUGCCUUAGACCAGCCACGGGGAAUGGAUCAGCAACAUCUCCUUUAGCCAGCAGCACCUUUUCUGAGACCAAGCCUUUGCUCUUCCAAUAUACACCUAUAACUCAUAUUCCUGUCUUUAAAAAGAAAACAUCCUGUAUACGCUAUGCUCUCAUAAGAACAGAUGUGAUGAUUUGCUGCUGCUGUUCACUGUUGAGCCAAAAGUACCACAGAAGCCCAGCAGUAAGUCUUGGAUCAUUGGCUGGUUUUAGCCUGCCUUUGACAUGCAGCUGUUGUUGGUGCCACAGUGUCCCAGCAGUAGCAAAGGUGUCUGAAACGGUGAAUGCAGAGACCCGGUGCCUGGUGUCAGUUUGACUGAAACGGUUUCUUUUGAUCCCCGACAGAGAUUUUUGCCGAUCGACGGUGCAAACGAUCUUUUCUUCCAGCCUCCCCCCGCACUGCCAACAUCCAAAAUCUAUUCCAUCAGGCCCUGCUAUCCUAAAGAUGAGCAUGCAGUGUAUAAGAUCUGCAGAGAGAUGUACUCUGAAGGAGUGGAGGAACUGCCCUUCGGUGGAGAGGAGCCAGACCUCAUAGGAGACAGGUUAGUAGGAGGGUUCCUGAACCUGAGUCCAGACUAUGGAUUUGUCCUGGAGGACGAGGAGGGGAUCUGUGGUUACGCUCUGGGCACCGUGGACGUCAAGCCCUUUGUCAAGAAGUGUAAGAUGAGCUGGAUCCCCUCCAUGCAGGAGAAAUACAACAAGCCUGACUGCCAGAAGGACCUCUCUGAUGCUGAGAAGAUGAUGUUGAGUUUCCAUGAGGAGGAGGAGGGCCUCCCAGAGUCGUUCCUCUCCAACUUCCCUUCCCUCAUUAAGAUGGACAUCCAUGCCAAAGUCAUCGAUCCCAGCGUGGCUAAGAGCAUGAUGGGAUGCCUGCUUUCCUGCCUCAAGGCCAAUGGUUCCAUCGGUGCCUUCUGUGAGGUGCGUCAGGCGGACAAGAGGAUGAUAGACUUCUACAGUAAGCUGGGUUGCUUCGAGGUCGCCAAGAUGGAGGGCUUCCCCAAAAACAUCAUAAUCAUGGGCCGCAGCCUCUGAGGACAACGACGACAUCACGGGACGCAGCUCCUGAGACAGCCCGGCGAGCCAAGCAACCACGGAGCUGUGUAGAGCGCUUCAGUCAUCUGGGCCUAAGGAUAACUGUCUGUUACUUUUACAAACCUACCGGUACUUGACGAUUUUACACUUCAACCACCUGGACUAGACAAGGCUAGAGGCAUCCCUGUUUUUAGAUAGUGAUCCGAAACAAAGCGGCUUGUACAGAUUCACUGUGCUGCCACUAGAGGCCCAGAGCUCUGCUGGAAUGAAACAGAAUCCAAAACUGUAAGAGCCAAAGUAGUCGUCUGCAGCCCUGUAAAGCCGUGUGUGUUUAUGGUGGACGGUUUCCCUCUUGUCAUUGGUGUCCAGAGUGGAGUGGCAGUGACUGAUCCCCAUGCGGCUCCAUGAAGUAGGAGCUGGUCAGGUGCCAUCUACUCCCAUUAGCCUUUCGGACCAUGUGACCUGAUUGUCAGUAGCCGAAUGGGCAUCUGUGCCUGUCGGGGGGUGUAUUUAGAUACUGCUGCAUCUCAAAUUGCGCUCUCUUCUCAAUGUAACAUGUUAUUUUUGUCUGGUCGAAGGUAGUGCAGUGUAUAGAGUAUAGGGAGUGAUUUGAGACUUGGCCUUAUAUCCUGACACUGCACUUUGGUUUAGGCCUAGCUGAUGUGGGGGGGGGGGGUUAGGGAAAAGGGGCCUUUGAGCAGGUGGUCCCUGUAGCUUACAGAGUAAAGAGCGGUUUAUGCUUCCACCUAUACUGUAGUUUAACUCCCGAGUGAAAAAACCAUUUGUCUCUUUGUGGUGUGCUACAGGUUCCCCAAUAGUUUACUUAAACUUAAGUGACUUACAUGCAGAGGAAAGCAUACGAUUGAGUGUUCAAGGAGACGAGAGAGUUAUUUCCUGGAAACCCACCGGAGUAGAAAUUAAUAACCUCGAAGAGAGGAAGAUGUGGAAUUGGCCACGUGUGUUUCCACUCACUAAAAACAUGGUUCUCAGUCUAGUCCCUUAACCCUUUUUGUUUUUGGCCAUGCUUUUUUUUACAGUGCUAUUUUUAUGUUUAUGUAUUGCCUUUCAAUAGGACUUUUGUACCUGUGGAGAUCUCCAAGGGGCCUAUUGCACUGUACUGUAGAUCGCCGAUGAUUACCAUGCACUCUUAUCUACUGUCAAUCCACCUGACAAAUACAUAAGGGGACAUGACAAUGGGAUGCGUUCAUUUUAGCUUGCCUGGUUGCCCUUGGAUGGUCUAAAAUGGGCAAACUCCACCAUCCCGGUGCACGCUAAAACGAACGUGCCUCGCCUCAAAAGGUGGGCCAUCGGCUCGAAAACGUCUCUCGAUUUUUUCUUUUUUUGGUCACCAAUCCAGUGCUCUGGCCCUUUAACCAAGAGAGACGAACCCUAACCUCCAAAUCGUUUUCGAAUUUGUGAAGAUGGGACGAGACGUUUUAGACGCUUCAGCGCUCCUUCUGUAAUGCAGCUGCUCUCGUACUUGACUUCACGAGGCGCGGCGAGGAACAUGUACCACUAACCAGCUGCUUAUCCGGGAGGACAGAACGUUCAGGUAGAAAGAUACUAUGUAGAACAGGUGGGAUUCCAUGCCAAGCAGAAUGAGGAACCAUGUCGGCUGUGUACGCCACAUUUCCAUCUGCGGCGUCAUACGUUGCACGCACUUGAAUGUCGAGCUACUGAGCGGCGGCUCUUCUCCUGGUUAGGACACUACCUACAUCGACAUGUCAAUUCAAAUAUGCUUUUUAAAGGAAUACCUCGUUACCUGAUUUGUCUUCUGCCAGCCUGGAUGUUUAUAAAUGAGUCUGAACGUUGAGCUAGUUAGAUUGCAGUCCUUUUAGUCUGCUUUACUCAUCCAACUCAUCGCCCUCUGGACUAGUAUUCUGUGGUGGACAAGUACGUUUCCCAGAGAGAAUAGCAACAUGUAUCCUAGUUCUCCGCUGGUAUUAAAUGAUUUACUUUUCCUUUAGUGUGUGUGUUUAUAUAUAUACUUUAGCUUCUUUUUUUUCCUGCAUCUGCUGAUUUUAUGUUUAGCUGCAAUUUGAAAGGGCUUCAAUUAUAGGCCUACAUUGUUUGUUUGUUUUUCUGGUGGGGAGGAGUUUAUUGAUUAAAAUGUACACUUUGUAUGUGAAAGGAAAAUUGUUGGUAAUAAAUAUUAACUCAUGGAAA